rnacentral:rRNA from 1 species
UUGCUCGGAAUCACUGGGCGUAAAGCGCACGUAGGCGGAUUGUUAAGUCAGGGGUUAAAUCCUGGAGCUCAACUCCAGAACUGCCUUUGAUACUGGCGAUCUCGAGUCCGGGAGAGGUGAGUGGAACUGCGAGUGUAGAGGUGAAAUUCGUAGAUAUUCGCAAGAACACCAGUGGCGAAGGCGGCGCACUGGCCCGGUACUGACGCUGAGGUGCGAAAGCGUGGGGAGCAAACAGG